GCCCGGCUAGCUCAAUCGGUAGAGCGUGAGACUCUUAAUCUCAAGGUUGCGGGUUCGGUGAGUAGAUCUUGCCUCACUCC